rnacentral:rRNA from 1 species
GUCCACGCCGUAAACGAUGGAUACUAGCUGUUGGGAGCAAUCUCAGUGGCUAAGCGAAAGUGAUAAGUAUCCCACCUGGGGAGUACGUUCGCAAGAAUGAAACUCAAAGGAAUUGACGGGGGCCCCGCACAAGCGGUGGAGCAUGUGGUUUAAUUCGAUGAUACGCGAGGAACCUUACCAAGGCUUAAAUGUAGUUUGACCGUUUUGGAAACAGAACUUUCGCAAGACAAAUUACAAGGUGCUGCAUGGUUGUCGU